CCUACGGUGGCAGCAGUCGAGAAUCAUUCACAAUGGGGGAAACCCUGAUGGUGCGACGCCGCGUGGGGGGAUGAAGGUCUUCGGAUUGUAAACCCCUGUCAUGUGGGAGCAAAUUAAAAAGAUAGUACCACAAGAGGAAGAGACGGCUGAAUCUGUGCCAGCAGCCUCCGUAAUACAGAGGGCUCAAGCGUUGUUCGGACUCACUGGGCGUAAAGCGUGCGUAGGCUGUUUUGUAAGUCGUGUGUGAAAGGCGCGGGCUCAACCCGCGGACGGCACAUGAUACUGCGAGACGAGAGGAUAGGAGUGGGAACCGGAAUUCUCGGUGUAGCAGUGAAAUGCGUAGAGAUCGAGAGGAACACUCGUUGCGAAGGCGGGUUCCUGGACAUUAACUGACGCUGAGGCACGAAGGCCAGGGGAGCGAAAGGGAUUAGAUACCCGUGUAGUC
rnacentral:rRNA from 1 species